rnacentral:tRNA from 1 species
GCCCAGGUGGCGGAAUUGGUAGACGCGCUAGCUUCAGGUGCUAGUAAUCGUAAGGUUGUGGGAGUUCAAGUCUCCCCCUGGGCACCA